rnacentral:rRNA from 1 species
GUUAAUAUUCCCGUACUUGGUGUUACUGCGAAGGGGGGACGGAGAAGGCUAUGUUGGCCGGGCGACGGUUGUCCCGGUUUAAGCGUGUAGGUGUGUGUUCCAGGUAAAUCCGGUUCACUUUAACACUGAGGCGUGACGACGAGGCACUACGGUGCUGAAGCAACAAAUGCCCUGCUUCCAGGAAAAGCCUCUAAGCAUCAGGUAACAUCAAAUCGUACCCCAAACCGACACAGGUGGUCAGGUAGAGAAUACCAAGGCGCUUGAGAGAACUCGGGUGAAGGAACUAGGCAAAAUGGUGCCGUAACUUCGGGAGAAGGCACGCUGACACGUAGGUGAAGUGAUUUACUCAUGGAGCUGAAGUCAGUCGAAGAUACCAGCUGGCUGCAACUGUUUAUUAAAAACACAGCACUGUGCAAACACGAAAGUGGACGUAUACGGUGUGACGCCUGCCCGGUGCCGGAAGGUUAAUUGAUGGGGUCAGCGCAAGCGAAGCUCCUGAUCGAAGCCCCGGUAAACGGCGGCCGUAACUAUAACGGUCCUAAGGUAGCGAAAUUCCUUGUCGGGUAAGUUCCGACCUGCACGAAUGGCGUAAUGAUGGCCAGGCUGUCUCCACCCGAGACUCAGUGAAAUUGAACUCGCUGUGAAGAUGCAGUGUACCCGCGGCAAGACGGAAAGACCCCGUGAACCUUUACUAUAGCUUGACACUGAACAUUGAGCCUUGAUGUGUAGGAUAGGUGGGAGGCUUUGAAGUGUGGACGCCAGUCUGCAUGGAGCCGACCUUGAAAUACCACCCUUUAAUGUUUGAUGUUCUAACGUGGACCCGUAAUCCGGGUUGCGGACAGUGUCUGGUGGGUAGUUUGACUGGGGCGGUCUCCUCCUAAAGAGUAACGGAGGAGCACGAAGGUUGGCUAAUCCUGGUCGGACAUCAGGAGGUUAGUGCAAUGGCAUAAGCCAGCUUGACUGCGAGCGUGACGGCGCGAGCAGGUGCGAAAGCAGGUCAUAGUGAUCCGGUGGUUCUGAAUGGAAGGGCCAUCGCUCAACGGAUAAAAGGUACUCCGGGGAUAACAGGCUGAUACCGCCCAAGAGUUCAUAUCGACGGCGGUGUUUGGCACCUCGAUGUCGGCUCAUCACAUCCUGGGGCUGAAGUAGGUCCCAAGGGUAUGGCUGUUCGCCAUUUAAAGUGGUACGCGAGCUGGGUUUAGAACGUCGUGAGACAGUUCGGUCCCUAUCUGCCGUGGGCGCUGGAGAACUGAGGGGGGCUGCUCCUAGUACGAGAGGACCGGAGUGGACGCAUCACUGGUGUUCGGGUUGUCAUGCCAAUGGCACUGCCCGGUAGCUAAAUGCGGAAGAGAUAAGUGCUGAAAGCAUCUAAGCACGAAACUUGCCCCGAGAUGAGUUCUCCCUGAGACUUUAAGUCUCCUGAAGGAACGUUGAAGACGACGACGUUGAUAGGCCGGGUGUGUAAGCGCAGCGAUGCGUUGAGCUAACCGGUACUAAUGAACCGUGAGGCUUAACC